AACGAACGCUGGCGGCAUGCCUAACACAUGCAAGUCGAACGAAGCCUUCGGGCUUAGUGGCGCACGGGUGCGUAACGCGUGGGAAUCUGCCCUUGGGUUCGGAGUAAGAGUUAGAAAUGACUGCUAAUACCGGAUGAUGUCUUCGGACCAAAGAUUUAUCGCCCAAGGAUGAGCCCGCGUAGGAUUAGGUAGUUGGUGGGGUAAUGGCCCACCCAGCCGACGAUCCUUAGCUGGUCCGAGAGGAUGAGCAGCCACACUGGGACUGAGACACGGCCCAGACUCCUACGGGAGGCAGCAGUGGGGAAUAUUGGACAAUGGGCGAAAGCCUGAUCCAGCAAUGCCGCGUGAGUGAUGAAGGCCUUAGGGUUGUAAAGCUCUUUUACCAGGGAUGAUAAUGACAGUACCUGGAGAAUAAGCUCCGGCUAACUCCGUGCCAGCCGCCGCCGUAACAC
rnacentral:rRNA from 1 species